AGGACUAACUAGCUGUAAUGUCAGUUACUCUAGUCCUGGCAGUGACUGAUGUUCCCUUAAUGCUCUCCUUGUUGUCAUACCCACAGCCUGAAUUUUCCUGUUUCUACCUCACAGCAUCCACGCCAAAUUCAUCUCGUCGAUAUUCCGUACGUAACUAUUCAAUCAACACCGCCGUUAUGCGAACUAAAACAUUACCAGCCCCCUCGGUCAAAACGCACAUCUGUACGCUAGUUCGUUUAAAAAAUAAUUUU